CAAAGAGUCAAGUUUACAUACCUAUUUUUUACCAUUUUAUUCCAUCUCUACUCUUCACUCAACUUCACUCAAAAGAUCUCCCAACAGAUCUCCCAACUCUAGUCGUCUUUCACCACCACCAUAAUUGAAUGCCAUCAUUUAAGCCUAAGUAAAGAGACGCCCGCUUCACUUCAUCUUCCCCUAACCCCUCCAGUCCCAUAAAAUCCACCACACAUUAAUGGCGAAUUGCAUGACCAGAUUCAAUGUAAUUGUAACUUACGAUUCAAUUUUCCUAUUGAAUGAAAUUGAAGACUCAAAUUGAAUGUUUGCUAAUCUUCGUUGUUCUACAUCACCCCCAGUUUUGCAUUUGUAUAUAAGCUUCACCCUUUCUGAUGAGGAAGAACACCAUUGCGGUGAUUGGGCUGAAAUUAGGGUUGUGAUGAAGGUGACAGUUGGUAUCGGUGUUGGCAGCCCUACAAAUCUAGGUUGAUUCAUGGAUGAUAACUGUAAGAUAUCAGACGUUUAAAAUAACGGUAUGAUUAUACAUUUUUAUUAAUUUUCCCGGAUUGUGUGUGCUUUUUAGAUUAGUUUUGGUGUUUUUGAGGUUAAUUCGGAUAAAAAAAAUGGUAUGAUUUUUGAUUUUAAUAUUUUUCCCCAAUUUGAUUGGUGUUUUUAAGGUUAUGAGGAAUGUGAACUAUUCAAUGAAACAAAAAGGGGUUUCGAUGGUAUAUAAUCAGUUGUAUGUGUUUGAAGGAUUGCUUAAUUACAGUUCUAGAACAUGUUAAGUUUGAUGGUAAGAUUUUUCACUCAGAUCUUUUUUUGGGUGUUAAUUGAUAGUUUGAUGUUUAAUUUGGUUAUUUGACCUAUAUAAGUAGACGGGUCGUGUUUAGGUUUAACUAUUUAAUCCAUUUAACUAGACAUUCGUCGGACCUUUUAGUUAACAUGUUUACAAUUUGGUUAAUCAGUUUAUCACAAUCUUUCAUGAGCAAUUGAGCAUAGAUUAAAAUCAAAAGGUUGUUUCAUGAGCGAGCUGUAGAAGCUUUUACUGUACUCUCAAAUUCUACUGAUGCUCAUUGCCGAAAAUUUGGAAUUAUUCAACUUCAUGUACUCGGCAGGACCUCUGUAUAUGACAGAUGAAGAGAUUGAUGGAUUGUUCAGGUAAUCAUAGAUUCUUUUUUGUAAUUCGUUGACUAAUAAUACCCUAUGUACUUAAAAUAUCUUAUGGAUCUAAAAGGAUAAAACAGGGUGAUCUAAACAUUUUUGUAGUUUACGUGUUAUAAUCUCAGUACUUAGAUUUAGUUUUGCAAGGUUUCUUGAAAAAAAAUCACAUAUGGCAUGAAAACGAUUUCUCAAUUUUAUUGUCAUUUUAAAAUGAUAAAGUUGUCUUAAAUUAAUACAAAUCGUGAUUCAUCAAUCUUUGUAGCAAACAAUUACAUCAAAGUUUGUUUCGUUCCUAAGUGGUUGAGAAUUAGAAUCUUAGACCACCCGUAGUGGGGCGUGAUUUUAAAAAAAAAUUGAAAAAAAAAACGCCCCAAAACGCCCCCCCCCCCCCUCCAUUACACUAGGCGUUAUUUUAAAAAAAAAAUUCAGAAAUUUGAUUUUGGCGUUAUUAAGAAAACGCUCCAUAGCUCCAUUUGAUUCUUGCAUGUGGCCAAUGGGAGAAGAAGUGGGUUUGACUAGCCAAUGAUCAUUUAGUUUGCUUUUUUUUUUUUUUUUUUUAAUGAUUGGAAGGGGGCAUUAUUUGGGCAUUAUUCCCACUACGCCACUUUUGCAAUAACGCCCCAUGCUGACUGGACUGCCACGUGUCGGAUAAUGCCCCAUGGUGGGGGCAUUAUUUUUCUUAACCACUAACAUGGUCUUAUAAUAGAUAAUAGAUAUUGUUGAAGAGAUAUGCAUCUAAAUCAUUCAGACACUGUAUUCCAUUAACAAAUCUAAUCAUUUGUUCCAGAUGAAUUGCUCUGCUGCAUCAAAAGGUAAAUUUGAUGGAAGGGUUGAUUAGUGCAAGAAUAUUUCCUAUCCGCGGUUACAGCAGUCAGGGAAACACAACCCUAUUUCCAACACAUACAUCAAACAGAAGAAGAGUGUUUUGUGGUCCAAUCAAGAUGAUGGCACCUACCAACUCAUCCAACUCAAAAGCCGGUUCUGUUAAGCCAAUGACAGCAUCCUCAUUAGGCCGAUUAGACAACACAUUACCUUCAAAAGCUAUUUCUUAUAACACUAACCUCAGUUAAAAAUAAUAAAAAUAUAUAUUCUAACUGGGGUCUCGUCAAACAUUCAGAGGCUCUUGAUUUAUGGCAAAAGGCUGAAGUUGUAUGCUUUGAUGUGGAUCGCACCGUGUGUGUGGAUGAAGGCAUUGAUGAAUUUGCUGAAUUUUGUGGAGCUGGAAAAGCUGUUGCUGAGUGGACCGCAAGGUGUGCUCGGUAUUUAGAUGGGUUUUCAGUAAGGGUGUGAAUUUCUGACACAACCCGAAAACACGACAUGAACCUAACACGAAAUUAGUGGGUUUUGGUUUACUCUAAACGGGUUCGGGUCAGUUUCAGAUUUAACCCAUGGCUGCCAGACUUGAUCUUUUCAAACCUUCAUUAUCAACAGUCCAAGACUUUCUUGAAAAGAGGCCCCCAAGUGCGAGAUGGGAAAAAAAUCACAUGUUAACUGAUUGAUGCAUGAAGAAACACGAGUCUUGAUUUAUGGAUUAGUUAGAAAGCUAUAGUGGAUGGAAGAAAUAUAAAGAAAGCAGCAAGAUUAAGAAGUGAUCUAGCAAGAUUCAAGAGCAAAUCGAGUUGAGUCGAGUCGGUGUGUGAACCGAUUAACCAAGAAAUCACCGUUGUGGUCGCAAGAAACGAGCAAGGAACAGUCGAAAGUGAUCCUUAGAUGUGAUUGAUCGAAGAGCAUGUGAUUUAAACAAAACAGAAAAGAAGAAACAGUCGAAAGUGAUUCUUAGAUGUGAUUGAUCGAAGAGCAAGCUAAGCAAGAAAGGAAGGAUAUUCAGCAAGGAAAAAAAAAGGAAGAAACGAGUCAAGAUUAAGGGGGUGAGUGUAGGUUAAUCUUGAUGGGUUUUAAUAUGGGUUUUCGGCUACCGGAAAUGGAGCUUCGUAAUCGGAUACGGGUCAAACGAACCGGCAGAAAACUUAUAUAUGUCACAUGGUUUUUUAUGUUUUUAUGUGGUCAAGUAGUGGGUCUUGAGUCGUGGUUAGAGUUAUUGAGUUGUAGGAGUAGUGGUUAGUUGGUUUCAUUCAUUUACGUAGCUAGAUUGUGUAUAUAUGUAUGGUUUGGCAAUGAAUAAAAGUGUGAGUAUUUAAGCAGUAACA